GAUGAACGCUGGCGGCGUGCUUAACACAUGCCAGUCGAACGAAGCACUUUAUUUGAUUUCCUUCGGGACUGAUUAUUUUGUGACUGAGUGGCGGACGGGUGAGUAACGCGUGGGUAACCUGCCUUGUACAGGGGGAUAACAGUUGGAAACGGCUGCUAAUACCGCAUAAGCGCACAGCAUCGCAUGAUGCAGUGUGAAAAACUCCGGUGGUAUAAGAUGGACCCGCGUUGGAUUAGCUAGUUGGUGAGGUAACGGCCCACCAAGGCGACGAUCCAUAGCCGAGAUGAGAGGGUGACCGGCCACAUUGGGACUGAGACACGGCCCAAACUCCUACGGGAGGCAGCAGUGGGGAAUAUUGCACAAUGGGCGAAAGCCUGAUGCAGCGACGCCGCGUGAGCGAAGAAGUAUUUAGGUAUGUAAAGCUCUAUCAGCAGGGAAGAUAAUGACGGUACCUGACUAAGAAGCACCGGCUAAAUACGUG
rnacentral:rRNA from 1 species